rnacentral:rRNA from 1 species
UACGUAGGGUGCAAGCGUUAAUCGGAAUUACUGGGCGUAAAGCGUGCGCAGGCGGUUAUGUAAGACAGGUGUGAAAUCCCCGGGCUUAACCUGGGAACUGCAUUUGUGACUGCAUAGCUAGAGUACGGUAGAGGGGGAUGGAAUUCCGCGUGUAGCAGUGAAAUGCGUAGACAUGCGGAGGAACACCGAUGGCGAAGGCAAUCCCCUGGACCUGUACUGACGCUCAUGCACGAAAGCGUGGGGAGCAAACAGG